rnacentral:rRNA from 1 species
AUUGAACGCUGGCGGCAUGCUUUACACAUGCAAGUCGAACGGUAACAGGCCGCAAGGUGCUGACGAGUGGCGAACGGGUGAGUAAUGCAUCGGAACGUGCCCAGUCUUGGGGGAUAACUACUCCAAAGAGUAGCUAAUACCUCAUACGAUCUAUGGAUGAAAGCGGGGGACCGUAAGGCCUCGCGCGAUUGGAGCGGCCGAUGUCAGAUUAGGUAGUUGGUUGGGUAAAGGCUCACCAAGCCAACGAUCGGUAGCUGGUCUGAGAGGACGACCAGCCACACUGGGACGGAGACACGGCCCAGACUCCUACGGGAGGCAGCAGUGGGGAAUUUUGGACAAUGGGCGCAAGCCUGAUCCAGCAAUGCCGCGUGCAGGAAGAAGGCCUUCGGGUUGUAAACUGCUUUUGUACGGAACGAAACGGCUCUGGUUAAUACCCGGGGCUAAUGACGGUACCGUAAGAAUAAGCACCGGCUAACUACGUG